rnacentral:lncRNA from 1 species
AGAACUUUAAAAACUAGACCACAUUUUCCAGUCUCCUCUGAAGUCAGAUGAAACCAUAUGACUAAGUUACAGCCAGUGAAAGGUUAUUCCUUGAAAUACAUCUGGAUUGUUUAGGGAUUGAUGGAAACCUAUACCCAACUUCAUUCCCUCAUCCUUCUCCUGAGGGAACAGGUUGCUGCAGUCAAUGGACAAUAGCCUCGUGCUUCAAGGAAAUCUUGAGGAGAGAUGUUUCACCUGCAGGCAGCAAACAUGACUACAGACAGAUACUCUUAUUUACCACAAAGUAGUGGAUUCUGGAAGAACUUGGCUCAGAAAUGUAUCUGUACCCCAGAGGAGAGAUCAAGAGUAGAGUCUUGUAAAUGUGUGGUUCUUCCUCUAAGAGGCAGAGGGAGCUGAAUAGGCAGGCUGUGGCUUUCCCACGCCUGAGCUAGGAGCCAUACAUGGAGACUAGGGAGCAAGAGGCUUCCUCCAGGAGCAUCGUUAGGGGACUUGCAGCCUGUUUGCUUCUUUACCACUGACCAGGUAGGUAGAAACUAUGUCAUCUUUCUCUGCUUACUGAACUCCUGCUCUUAGGGCACUGGAUCUGAGUCCAAAGCAACCGACAAAUAAAAAAGGGGAACCUACUUAAGAGGAAGAUCCGUCAGAACAAGAGGAUCCGUCAGAAGAUCCUUGUGUGCAGGAAAACAGAGCUGCCGGAUGAUAGACAACAACUGAAUGAAGGAGGAGGGGUUGGGGAGGAGAGUGGGGAAGAGAAAGAAGGAGAAGACGAAGGAUGAGCAAGCUUCUAGUGCUCAAGGAAAGCAGUCUCUGAUGCUCACUUCAGAUGGGAUCAAAGAGAAAAUAGGGAAGAGAGCAUUGCAGAGGGAGGAACAAGGGCAGAUAGAGAUUGUUGCUGUGACAUAAUCUAGUACAUACUAACUCGCAUGUUAAACUGAAUUACAACAGUCUGCCCUUGCUGGAAUAGGUGUAGUUGAAAACAGCUGAAAAAUGAGAACUUCACAUGAAAAAAUGACUCUCAAUGUCUGGAAAUUUUUAAAGUCAUAAGUAUGUUGCUAAAUUCUCAGUGAAACCUUAGAAGAAUCAAGAAAAAGCUUGUGUGAGGAUCACAGUUUGUCCUGGGGUCAGAAUGGAAAGCAAAUUCUUAAAUAUCUCUUUGAGACCCUACUUGAAAUGAAUGUACUCAUUCACACAGCCUCAUCUUCUUGUUUGAGGAGCAUCACAGACAGUUUUCUGCAUGCCUUCUGAGUUCCUGCUUAUCCUUUUGGGCCCUUCCUUUUUUUUGGAUGAUGUUUUUCUGAUUAAGAGUUAGGACAAAAGGAAAUCUAUGACAUCCACCCCUUUAUGUCUUUCCAAACUAUCUCUUCCCCCAUGAAAUUUAGCAUAAGCUAUGGAUACAGAAAUAAAGAAACUGUCAUAACACAUAAUGUUGGGAAGAUAAGUGCAUUGUAUCACAGCCACUGGGGUUUAUAUUUUAUUAUUUACUGGAAAAGGGAAAACUCAUGAUAGACAGAUUCUUUUCUCAGGCAAAAGGAAGAUGUGAUGUGUGAGCAUGUUAUAGAGGAGAAUUUUAGGAUGUUCUAAAGUUUUCCUUGCAUUUAUUAAGGGCCUUGACCCACCUGAGCUGAAUAGUUUGCCUCUGAAGGAGCAUCUGUUCUAUAAAUUUUUGUUCUCUCACUCCUCCAGUCAUAGAACCAGAAUACACUGUGGCGUCACCUGGUCAAGGUUAUUUUUCCUUAGCAGUACAUAAGGGGUCCUUUAACUUGGUACUCUACAAGGAAAAUCUUAUUUAAAUAAGGAACUAAACCACCUCUACCGGUGAACUACAGAUAGUUUUCUAACAGUGUGCUAAGAGCCAGCCUAUAGAUGCUAAUAGUUAGCAUAAAUAUUUAUAAAGCAUACAAAAAUAUAUUUUUUAAUUUUAUAUAUAAAUAAAAACCAGGCAAUUAAAGAUAAGAUUUAGGUAUAGCUAUUGAUUGCUCUGAUAUUAGUUCUUCAUCUCCCCACAUCUGUGGAGUACUGAAGAACUUAGCCCAUGAGUUCAUUUUUUUAAUUGAGAUAUAAUGGACAUACAACAUUGUAUUAGCUUUAGGUGUACAACAUAGUGAUAUGAUAUUUAUAUAUAUUAUGAAAUGAUCACGACAAUAAGUCAAGUUAACAUCCAUCACUACACACCCUUAUAAUUUUUCUUCUGAUGUGGAUUUAAGUUCUACUCUCCUAGCAACUUUCAGGUAUACAAUACAGUAUUAAUUACUAGAGUCACCACUCUGUAUGCUACAUUUCCAUGACUUAUUUAUUUUAUAACUGGAAGUUUAUACCUUUUUACUUCAGGGAGCCCAUACAUUUAGAUGGUGAAAAAAAUUACAUCUUCACUUUCAUUAAUCUCUAGUAAAAUUUAGCAUGUCCUUCAAUUAUGUUUGUAGGCAACAAGCUACCACAGUAUUAGGAUAUCUGUGCCUUGUUACUGACAUGUUGAAAAUCACAUAUUUCCAUAUCACAUUAUAGAUGCUACAAAUAUCUCAAAAUACUGUUUACUCUCAUUACUGUUUUAAAACCACGUUAGUAAUUAGAUCCAUCACUAACUCUUGUUACCUUCUACACUAGUAAGAAGCACAUAUAUUACUAUUUUAUAAAAUUUUAAUUUUGGUAACUGUGUUCCUAAAUAAUUGAUUUCGGUUGAAAAUCUCAUGUAUUUUUUUUUUUUUGGUCUUUUUGCAAUUUCUUGGGCCGCUCCCGCGGCAUAUGGGAGGUUCCCAGGCUAGGGGUCAAAUCGGAGCUGUAACCACCAGCCUAUUCCAGGGCCACAGCAAUGCGGGAUCCGAGCCGCGUCUGCAACCUACACCACAGCUCACGGCAACGCCGGAUCCUUAACCCACUGAGCAAGGGCAGGGAUCGAACCCGCAACCUCAUGGUUCCUAGUCGGAUUCGUUAACCACUGCGCCACGACGGGAACUCCCAAAAAUCUCAUGUAUUUUUGACGCAAUUUAAAAUAUUCUUAGAAGGGGCCCACAGGCUUCACCAGAACGCAAGAUGUGUCCAUUGCACAAAAAUUUCAGAACCCUGCCAAAAGUGGUGAUGAUUAUCAAAUCAUAUUACUGUCUGUAUUUGGCAAAGUGGGCUGUUUUAUCUACAACACACUUUGUUCUUUCUGCAUCCCAAACAUUUAAUCAACAAACAUUUAUUGACUAUCUCUGUAUGCCUGGCACACUUCUAGAUGCUGGAUAUUCAGAAGUAACAUAAACAAGGUCCUUGCCUUCAAGGAGCAUAAGUUGAGUGGGAAGACACAGGAAAUAGAUCAGUAAAUAAACCCAACAAUUUCAAAUUGAGAAAAGUUCUGUAAAGGAAAUAAAUGGUAUUAAGUAAACAGAGCAGAGUGAGGGGAUCAGGAAGCUCUCUCUGAAAAGCUGUCAUCUGAAGGAUGAGCAUGUACCAAACAUGGGAAGAGGUGGGGGGAAUGUAUUCCAAGCAGAAGGAAAACCAAAUGCAAGCACAUCAAGGCUAUGAAAGUCCUAUGCUGGUUCAUGACAGACGGCCUGUGUCUUGGUCACAAUGCUGAUAAGUCCAGAAAGUUGUUUCUCCCUUGGUUUGCAAAUGCUGAACUCAUUAUGCCUCAGUAUUCAGAGUCUGUCAACUGCCUGUUGCUCUUACUCCUUUUCCCUUGCUCACACACAUCCAAGUAAGGCAGGAACCAUGGGAUUUGUAGCUCAUUGUGCAUCUCCCACAAAUGCCCCUGAAAGGCUGAAGUGGGAAGGAUGAUCAUCUUCCAGCUUAAGUUCUACCAGAAGCUCCCCAAUCCAGCUCCUGUUAUUUUUCUCACUACAAAUAUCCCGGCUCAAGACAGGAAAAGCAGGAGUGUAAAGAAGCACAUGGCUACACUUCCAGGGUAACACCCCACUGCACCCUAUUGGUAAUAACCUCUGGAAACACUUUAGGUCUUCCACUACAAUAGAAUGUCACAGUCUUUAGCUGUGACUAAAGAGAAGAUAUAUCUUCUCUCACUGAAGCAUGUAUGUGAUACAAAAAGACACAUGGUUGUGUCUAACACAGAAAACUAAUAAGUGUUAAUUAGGGAAUUAUUUCAUUUUUAAUGCUACUUUAAAAUUUUCCUAGUAAUGUAUUUUUCCUUUAUAGCUACCAUUAAAGACUAUACUAUGUGUAGUAGU